rnacentral:lncRNA from 1 species
GCCAUCCAGAGCCCUGCGCCCACCCAGGACACGGGGAAACACUGCCACCCGCACGCCAGUCUCCAGUGGGAUGAGGGCUGUGACACCAACGUGUGUCACCAAUGGGAUGAGGGCUGGUCCCGCUCCGUCACUGGGAAGAUGCUGCGGUCAGGGCUGUAGCCAGGUCCGACCACAGGGCCGGCCACCGUGUGGACGUGGAGCUGCCUCCAGACCACCUGAAAACAAGGCUGGCGGGGGCAGAGACGGCUCGAGCCCUUGGGCUGCCCCAGCCACCCCUACCUAGGAUCGCCCUCAGGGGCAGGCGCAGCAUCCGCCCGGGCAUCCCUGGUGGUCCCGGCCCUCCUCGGCUUCUGCUUGGCCUUCCUCAGCAUGUGCACCUGUCCCAGGGCAGGGGACAAAGGACCAGGGUGACAUGGCCGAUGAAAGAACGGUACACGGGCAGCCCCCAGUCCUGGGGCCCCAGGCAGCUGAUGCCAUCUCAGCCCCAUUUCAUGGAAGGGGAGGGACCUGUCUGGCUGCUCCCUGUGCCACCUGUGGCCCGCCUGGCCGCUGGCACAGCCCUCCUCUGAAGCAGGCACCCUCCCGGAGUCAGUGCUCCCUGGCCGCAGCCAGCCAUGCCAGCACCACCUGGGUACCACUGGCCACUCCCAUGGCCGGCCCAGCCUGGCCCACCUCCCCUGGCUCUCCAGCCUCACCCCACGUACCUUAGGGCCAGCAGCUGAGAUGAUCAUGUGCCCCGGGGCCUGGACCCAGGGCUCCCCGUCCAGAGCACCUGGGGAUGUUGAUGAAGAUGAGGCCUUCGAUGCUGGGCAGCUCCACCUCUUGCCGCUCCACCUGCAGCCGGAUCUGCUUGUGCAGGCUCCGAGAGUGACUGAUCUUCUGCAGCCCCACCCGUACGUACACACCCUUGUUGUGCAGCCUGCAGGGCGGGGCAGGUCGCCCAUCACCAGGGGAAGCCCUACCCCGCCUUAGGCAGCCUCCGGGUUCCGGCCCCUCUGCCUAUUCCUGCUGGGGGACCUGAGGGAGGUAUGCCGUCACCAGGUGGCAGCCCCUGCGGCUCCGGUACCUGCUUGUGAACUUGCCAGGCUCCUCUUCCCGUGCCUGGUGGAAGUCCAGGCUCAGCUCCGCGUCGAUGCCAAUGCCACAGUAAUUACUCAUCUGCACGAUCUGGGGACAGGGCGUUCAUCUCCCAGGACCCGGCCGCCCUCACCAGGCCCCCUGAGCUCCCCAAUGGCAGGUCUAGUUCCUUGCCUCCUGCCAGCAGGCAGAGACAAGAGCAAGGACCACCCUGGCACCAAGCCCAGCACCCAGGAGAGGGCAGCAUGGGCAGGUCCUGGCCAGGCUCUGUCGCCAGCUGGCUCGGCACAAUCCCCA